CAUUUUAACUUGUAAGAAUGAUCUACGAUUCAUGCUACAAAAGGGUACUGCAGCUUUCUAUUAAAAUAGGUGUUUGUCGUUUCAAGUUCGAACUGCUAUUUCAUUUCCGUUGUAAUAUAUUCUGCUAAGUGUCUGCUCGACAACGAUUUGGCAGUAUUUUAGCUAAGGUGCAGUGUUUUAAAGACUAAAUUGUCACAAAAACAGCGCAGAAGUAACGAAAUAUUGUUUACGUUGUCUUUUUGUUGUGCGGCUUCAAGGAGAGCAUUCGCUGCACACCGUGGGAGAGGGGGUUGGGUGUGUUUGGACAGGCUGAUAUCGGUAUAAGACACACUUAUCAGUUAUCUCGAUGACCUCGAUAUAGCGUCAGUGUGGCCUUGUUAUCUGCCGAUGAUAGCUUGAACUCCAGUCGCUUGGUGGAAGCGGAGCGACUCGGUUCGUGUUUCGCUUUCUAGCCGGCUCGCCAUUAGCUAACCUCGAUUUGGAUUGUGCUUGAAACCAGUGUGAAGGUCUUGUGUUUUUUCAUAGCUAUUCACCUCAAAAUAUCAGAACUAUGGCGUGGACAUCUUAUCAACUGUUUUUGGCUGGACUUAUGGUCGUCACAGGCUCAUUGAACACACUUUCAACAAAAUGGGCCGACCAGCUGAAGAGCAUCAACAGCGUAGGCGAGCUGGUCCACUUCAACCAUCCAUUCCUACAAGCAACGUCCAUGUUUGUAGGAGAGUUCUCUUGCAUGUACGCCUUCUUCAUGUUCUACUUCAUCUUCAAGCACAAAGGCGGCGAGGAGCGAGUGCAGGCCAGCACCCUGACAGGCGGCAACCGGCAGUUCAAUCCGCUCAUCUUCCUGCCGCCGGCCAUGUGCGACAUGAUCGCCACGUCCACGAUGUACGUCGGUCUGAACCUGACGUACGCCUCGUCCUUCCAGAUGCUGCGAGGCUCUGUGAUCGUGUUCACCGGCCUGCUCUCCAUGUUCUGCCUGGGCCGGAAGCUGAACGCUCGCCAGUGGGCCGGCAUCGUGUUCGUCAUCAUCGGCCUGGCCAUCGUGGGCGUCUCCGACUUCCUGCUGCCCUCGGACGAGGAGUACGAUACCUCCAACGUCAUCCUCGGCGACGCGCUCAUCAUCGCCGCCCAGGUGGUGGUUGCCUGCCAGAUGGUCAUCGAGGAGCGUUUCGUCAGCUCGGCCAACGUCCCGCCGCUCAUGGCUGUCGGCUGCGAGGGACUCUUCGGCUUCGUCGUGCUCUCCAUCCUGCUCUUCCCCAUGUACCACAUCCACGUCAACUCGACGUUCAGCUCGUCGCCCGAGUACCGGCUGGAGGACGCGCUGGACGCCUUCUACCAGCUGGGCAACAACUGGCAGCUGUCGCUGGCCUUCAGCGGCACCAUCAUCAGUAUCGCCUUCUUCAACUUCGCCGGCAUUUCUGUGACCAAGGAGAUUAACGCCACGACGCGGAUGGUGCUGGACUCUGUGCGUACGCUGGUCAUCUACCUGGUGUCGCUGGCACUCGGCUGGCAGGACUUCCAGUACCUGCAGCCGAUCGGCUUCGUCAUCCUGCUGAUUGGCAUGUCCGUCUACAACGACGUCAUCAUCACGCCGUUCAUGCGCGAGCGCGGCUGGAUUGCCGAGUCAACCCCAGAGGACGUUCCUCUCCUACCCUGAUCCGCGGAGGCGGGCUCGUCGCUCCGCUGCCUGUCGGCAAUCGCCGGAACCUCAGCUUGUGUGAUCUUCCGCUACGAUCGCACGGCGCUACAGUCGUCCCGGCCCAACCGCAAAGACACUGCUCCGAAGAUAAAAAAAAAACGAAUUGUGCGAUGCCGAUUAUAAAGAUAUUUUCUUCUUUAGACAAGUUUACUGUUAAGGUGGUGUGUCCGUAUAUUAUAUGGAUUAUCUUUCCAGAAAUUUAUCAUUGUUAUAACUUAUGGUCUCAUAUUGAGGCUUACUUUUGACAAAAUACAGAAACAGGUUUAUUUUUAUGCAGUGUUCAGAUGGUAAAUUGCGCGAUUUGACGCUGAAAAGGAUUGGGAAAACUGUUGCUGUGAGUCAUCUGACAAUGCCGACCCGAAGGCAAGCCCCACCGACGCUGACCCGGAGGAGAGCGAACCCCCGAAGGACGACUCGCAGGAGGAUCUGGCGGCCUCUGGACCGGACGACGACGCCGCCGUGUCCACAUAGGUGCCCUGUGGGGACAGUAAGCGUCCACAGUGGGUGGACAUCGUAUCCACACGGAGCAGGCUGUCCACCUGGGGGCAGCUGCCCCAAUAUCCACACUGGGCGGCGCUGUCCUAUACAGGGGUCAGCGCCCGUACGCAGGGGCCAAUGCUCGUCCCCUUGGCGACGGUGCAUGGGCUGGUCUGGCAGGGUGGGUAGGUAUGUGGAGUGAGGGCGGCAGAGUGUGGCAGCUCAGAGUGCGGUGUCUAUCUGAAUGCAUUUCAGAUGAUAUUAGCGUUUGUUGAAAUUUUGCACCCACUGGUUGACAGUUUUGUUGUUUGUUUUCAAUUACAUUAAAGGAUAAUUUCUUUCAAGAGCUGUUAUUAGUAAGUGCUCUGUUGGCCAGUUUUCGUAUGUUGUGAAAGACUAAAGUGACAUUGAAAGCGUCGCUGAUAGUAAAAGAAGUUGAAACUGUGGUGUGAUAAGAUUGCGCUAACGUAAAAAGCUUGUUUGGUGCCUGUUUGGCUUUUUCUUGUCGGCACUGUCGUCAGGAUCUGAAGCCAAAAAGGCUUCGAGGGCUCGUCGAUGCAGAGUAUUGCUGUUCGAUCGUUGAAUUGACCGAUCGGCCGAAUUGGUUUCCAGGGGUAUGGUCUCCAGAGAGAGACCGAGAAUGGGAUACUUUAGGUUUGAAUAGGAUGUUGAGAUGCCGUGCUUUUCUCGAGCGUCAUGGCAUCAAGGAAUAGCGCCUAUUUGAUAUCGUGAUUCUCGACUUUAAUUCACAGUGACAUUAUCUUUGAAUUACCGGUAUUUGAUGUAUUUCAUUAUGCAGGAAUUUGUGCAAUACAAUAAUGUGGACUUA